GAUCAUGGCUCAGGAUGAACGCUAGCGACAGGCCUAACACAUGCAAGUCGAGGGGCAGCGGAGAGGUAGCAAUACCUUUGCCGGCGACCGGCGCACGGGUGAGUAACACGUAUGCAAUCCACCUGUAACAGGGGGAUAACCCGGAGAAAUCCGGACUAAUACCCCAUAAUAUGGGCUNUCCGCAUGGAGGGUUCAUUAAAGAGAGCAAUUUUGGUUACAGACGAGCAUGCGCUCCA
rnacentral:rRNA from 1 species